rnacentral:rRNA from 1 species
UACGUAGGGUGCAAGCGUUAUCCGGAAUUAUUGGGCGUAAAGAGCUCGUAGGCGGUUUGUUGCGUCUGCUGUGAAAACUGGAGGCUCAACCUCCAGCCUGCAGUGGGUACGGGCAGACUAGAGUGCGGUAGGGGAGAUUGGAAUUCCUGGUGUAGCGGUGGAAUGCGCAGAUAUCAGGAGGAACACCGAUGGCGAAGGCAGAUCUCUGGGCCGUAACUGACGCUGAGGAGCGAAAGCAUGGGGAGCGAACAGG